CCCUUUACUCAUCUAAAAUAUUCAACACCUUUAAAACCACUAAUCCUAUCAAUAGGUGCAAAUAAUUGGUGUAAAAUGCAGUUUUUCAUCUUUUCAUGGUCAUCAGAUAUGACCCAUUUGGACGUUUAGAAGCUCCGUAGUGAAUGUGGAAACACCGUCAUCUUCUACAACA